CAUGUCAGUCGAGCGGAAAGGCCCUUCGGGGUACUCGAGCGGCGAACGGGUGAGUAACACGUGAGUAACCUGCCCCUGACUCUGGGAUAAGCCUGGGAAACCGGGUCUAAUACCGGAUACGACCAUUUCUCGCAUGUGAUGGUGGUGGAAAGUUUUUUCGGUUGGGGAUGGGCUCGCGGCCUAUCAGCUUGUUGGUGGGGUGAUGGCCUACCAAGGCGACGACGGGUAGCCGGCCUGAGAGGGCGACCGGCCACACUGGGACUGAGACACGGCCCAAACUCCUACGGGAGGCAGCAGUGGGGAAUAUUGCGCAAUGGGCGGAAGCCUGACGCAGCGACGCCGCGUGGGGGAUGACGGCCUUCGGGUUGUAAACCUCUUUCAGCAGGGACGAAGUUGACGUGUACCUGUAGAAGAAGCGCCGGCUAACUACGUGCCAGCAGCCGCGGUAAUACGUAGGGCGCGAGCGUUGUCCGGAAUUAUUGGGCGUAAAGAGCUCGUAGGUGGCUUGUCGCGUCUGCCGUGAAAGCCCGUGGCUUAACUACGGGUCUGCGGUGGAUACGGGCAGGCUAGAGGCUGGUAGGGGCAAGCGGAAUUCCUGGUGUAGCGGUGAAAUGCGCAGAUAUCAGGAGGAACACCGGUGGCGAAGGCGGCUUGCUGGGCCAGUUCUGACGCUGAGGAGCGAAAGCGUGGGGAGCGAACAGGAUUAGAUACCCUGGUAGUCCACGCUGUAAACGUUGGGCGCUAGGUGUGGGGGUCUUCCACGAUCUCUGUGCCGUAGCUAACGCAUUAAGCGCCCCGCCUGGGGAGUACGGCCGCAAGGCUAAAACUCAAAGGAAUUGACGGGGGCCCGCACAAGCGGCGGAGCAUGUUGCUUAAUUCGACGCAACGCGAAGAA
rnacentral:rRNA from 1 species